rnacentral:rRNA from 1 species
GUACAUCCAGAGAACUUAGCAGAGAUGCUUUGGUGCCUUCGGGAACUCUGAGACAGGUGCUGCAUGGCUGUCGUCAGCUCGUGUUGUGAAAUGUUGGGUUAAGUCCCCGNAACGAGCGCAACCCCUAUCCUUUGUUGCCAGCGAUUCGGUCGGGAACUCAAAGGAGACUGCCGGUGAUAAACCGGAGGAAGGUGGGGAUGACGUCAAGUCAUCAUGGCCCUUACGAGUAGGGCUACACACGUGCUACAAUGGCGCAUACAAAGAGAAGCGACCUCGCGAGAGCAAGCGGGACCUCAUAAAGUGCGUCGUAGUCCGGAUUGGAGUCUGCAACUCGACUCCAUGAAGUCGGAAUCGCUAGUAAUCGUAGAUCAGAAUGCUACGGUGAAUACGUUCCCGGGCCUUGUACACACCGCCCGUCACACCAUGGGAGUGGGUUGCAAAAGAAGUAGAUAGCUUAACCUUCGGGAGGGCGUUUACCACUUUGUGAUUCAUGACUGGGGUGAAGUCGUAACAAGGUAAGCGUACGUGU